UAAUGCGAAGAGGCAUGGUUGCAACCAA
rnacentral:piRNA from 1 species